UACGUAGGGGGCACGCGUUGUCCGGAUUUAUUGGGCGUAAAGAGCGUGUAGGCGGCCAGGUAGGUCUGCUGUGAAAACUCGAGGCUUAACCUCGAGCUGUCGGCGGAAACCAUCUGGCUAGAGUCCGGAAGAGGAGAAUGGAAUUCCCGGUGUAGCGGUGAAAUGCGCAGAUAUCGGGAAGAACACCCGUGGCGAAGGCGGUUCUCUGGGACGGUACUGACGCUGAGACGCGAAAGCGUGGGGAGCGAACAGG
rnacentral:rRNA from 1 species